rnacentral:rRNA from 1 species
UCGAGCGAACCCUUCGGGGUUAGCGGCGGACGGGUUAGUAACGCGUGGGAACGUGCCCAAAGGUACGGAAUAGCCUCGGGAAACUGAGAGUAAUACCGUAUGUGCCCUUCGGGGGAAAGAUUUAUCGCCUUUGGAUCGGCCCGCGUUGGAUUAGGUAGUUGGUGGGGUAAUGGCCUACCAAGCCGACGAUCCAUAGCUGGUUUGAGAGGAUGAUCAGCAACACUGGGACUGAGACACGGCCCAGACUCCUACGGGAGGCAGCAGUGGGGAAUCUUAGACAAUGGGGGAAACCCUGAUCUAGCCAUGCCGCGUGAGCGAUGAAGGCCUUAGGGUUGUAAAGCUCUUUCAGCUGGGAAGAUAAUGACGGUACCAGCAGAAGAAGCCCCGGCUAACUCCGUGCCAGCAGCCGCGGUAAUACGGAGGGGGCUAGCGUUGUUCGGAAUUACUGGGCGUAAAGCGCGCGUAGGCGGAUUGUUAAGUCGGGGGUGAAAUCCCGGGGCUCAACCCCGGAACUGCCUUCGAUACUGGCAAUCUAGAGUUCGAGAGAGGUGAGUGGAAUUCCGAGUGUAGAGGUGAAAUUCGUAGAUAUUCGGAGGAACACCAGUGGCGAAGGCG